rnacentral:rRNA from 1 species
GCAAGUCGAACGAGAAAACCCCUUCGGGGGUAAGUAGAGUGGCGAACGGGUGAGUAACGCGUAAGAAUUUUCCCUUCAGUGAAGAAUACCCUCGAGAAAUCGAGGCUAAUACUGCAUACGUCCCUUCGGGGAGAAAGGCGGCCUCUUGCUGCCGCUGAAGGAUAAGCUUGCGUACUAUUAGCUUGUUGGUGGGGUAAAGGCCUACCAAGGCGAUGAUGGUUAGCCGACCUGAGAGGGUGAUC